rnacentral:misc_RNA from 1 species
GGUUUACAGAGAUGGAUGGAUUGACGCUACCAAACUAAACAUUGAUGGGUUGUGAAAGGGAUGAAGCAUGUUUGGGAACAGAGUUAUUGAUUUGUUGCAGCCGUCGAGAUGAAAGAACAGAAGGAAUCUACAGGGACAGGGUUAAUUCUUUCAGCAUAACACAAGGUCUUGGUAGAAAAAUGGUAACAAGGGGAGCAACUAUGGGAUUACAAAGCUGUCAUCAGGCAACAAAUCACGAUCGCAAUUUUGACCUUGAGCCAUAAUCCACACCCUGGAUAGCCACCCCAGGAGGAUGAAAACAAGAAUUGCAAAC